rnacentral:rRNA from 1 species
GACGAACGCUGGCGGCGUGCUUAACACAUGCAAGUCGAACGGAAAGGCCCUGCUUUUGUGGGGUGCUCGAGUGGCGAACGGGUGAGUAACACGUGAGUAACCUGCCCUUGACUUUGGGAUAACUUCAGGAAACUGGGGCUAAUACCGGAUAGGAGCUCCUGCUGCAUGGUGGGGGUUGGAAAGUUUCGGCGGUUGGGGAUGGACUCGCGGCUUAUCAGCUUGUUGGGGGGGUAGUGGCUUACCAAGGCUUUGACGGGUAGCCGGCCUGAGAGGGUGACCGGCCACAUUGGGACUGAGAUACGGCCCAGACUCCUACGGGAGGCAGCAGUGGGGAAUAUUGCACAAUGGGCGGAAGCCUGAUGCAGCAACGCCGCGUGCGGGAUGACGGCCUUCGGGUUGUAAACCGCUUUCGCCUGUGACGAAGCGUGAGUGACGUUAAUAGGUAAAGAAGCACCGGCUAACUACGUG